CAGAGGUUUAGGGACUUGCCUAGAAACGCAUGGUAACACAGCUAAGCCUUGGCCAACACUGUCAUUUGAGUGGUACUCGCUCCUUCUGCUUUAAGUUAGCACCACGUGAAUAAUCUGACUUCAGGCAUCAUUGCCCCAUUCUGAUUCCCUCCUCCUAGGGUGUGUGAGUAUGUUGACCACCUGCAUGAGCAUUUCAAGUAUCCUGUGAUGAUCCAGCGGGCUUCCUACAUGCCUCCCAAGGAUCCCGGCUACUCAACAGAAAUGAAGGAGGAAUCUGUAAAGAAACACCAGUAUCCAGAUGGUGAAGUUUGGAAGAAACUCCUUCCUGCUCAAGAAAAUUAAUUAAGUGCUCAGCCCCAACAACUUUUUUCUUUCUGAAGUGAAAAGGCUUAAAAUUUCUUGGAAAUAGUUUUACAAAAAUGGAUUAAAAAAAUCCUACCGAUCAAGAUUAGUUCAGCUAAAAGUCAUACCACCCUCAGGAAUCAGCUAAGUAAUUAUUACUUGAUUCUUUUAGCAAAUCAAUGCACAUUAUCCUACUUAAUCCUUAAAUAAGUUUAGAUUUAACUAACCCAAAGUCCAGGAGGAUGUUCUUACAAAAAUAGCUAUAUCAAGGGCUGGCACCU
rnacentral:sRNA from 1 species